GAUGAACGCUAGCGGCAGGCUUAAUACAUGCAAGUCGAGGGGCAGCAUGACUGUAGCAAUACAGUUGAUGGCGACCGGCAAACGGGUGCGGAACACGUACACAACCUUCCUUUAAGUGGGGAAUAGGCCAGGGAAACUUGGGUUAAUACCCCGUAAUAUAUAGAAGCGGCAUCGCUUUUAUAUUAUAGCUCCGGCGCUUGAAGAUGGGUGUGCGGCUGAUUAGAUAGUUGGCGGGGUAACGGCCCACCAAGUCGACGAUCAGUAACUGGUGUGAGAGCACGACCAGUCACACGGGCACUGAGACACGGGCCCGACUCCUACGGGAGACAGCAGUAAGGAAUAUUGGUCAAUGGACGCAAGUCUGAACCAGCUAUGCCGCGUGAAGGAUGAAGGCCCUCUGGGUUGUAAACUUCUUUUAUCUGGGACGAAAAAAGCUCUUUCUAGAGCACUUGACGGUACCAGAGGAAUAAGCACCGGCUAACUCCGUGCCAGCAGCCGCGGUAAUACGGAGGGUGCAAGCGUUAUCCGGAUUUACUGGGUUUAAAGGGUGCGUAGGUGGGUCUGUAAGUCAGUGGUGAAAUCUCCGAGCUUAACUCGGAAACUGCCAUUGAUACUAUAGGUCUUGAAUUAUCUGGAGGUAAGCGGAAUAUGUCAUGUAGCGGUGAAAUGCUUAGAUAUGACAUAGAACACCAAUUGCGAAGGCAGCUUACUACGGAUCGAUUGACACUGAGGCACGAAAGCGUGGGGAUCAAACAGGAUUAGAUACCCUGGUAGUCCACGCCCUAAACGAUGGAUACUCGACAUCAGCGAUACACUGUUGGUGUCUAAGCGAAAGCAUUAAGUAUCCCACCUGGGAAGUACGAUCGCAAGAUUGAAACUCAAAGGAAUUGACGGGGGUC
rnacentral:rRNA from 1 species